rnacentral:misc_RNA from 1 species
GUUUAGCCAUACUUUUUGCCUAUAUAGCAUUUGAGUCACUUCUAGUUUCUUGAACCCAAUGAAACUAGGAAAUGUUUUCUUUUGUGUAUGUACCUUUUAGAACUUACAAAUCAUCAAUCACACAAUCAACAACAACCAUGGGGCUAGCUUUCUAUCUUUGAUGCGGCAAUCAAAGAUUUUCAAUUUAUAAAAUGUAAAAAAAAUGGACUGG